AGAAUGAACGCUGGCGGCAUGCCUAACACAUGCAAGUCGAACGAAGGCUUCGGCCUUAGUGGCGCACGGGUGCGUAACGCGUGGGAAUCUACCCUUAGGUUCGGAAUAACAGUUGGAAACGACUGCUAAUACCGGAUGAUGACGUAAGUCCAAAGAUUUAUCGCCUAGGGAUGAGCCCGCGUAGGAUUAGCUAGUUGGUGUGGUAAAGGCGCACCAAGGCAACGAUCCUUAGCUGGUCUGAGAGGAUGAUCAGCCACACUGGGACUGAGACACGGCCCAGACUCCUACGGGAGGCAGCAGUGGGAAUAUUGGACAAUGGGCGAAAGCCUGAUCCAGCAAUGCCGCGUGAGUGAUGAAGGCCUUAGGUUGUAAAGCUCUUUUACCCGGGAUGAUAAUGACAGUACCGGGAGAAUAAGCUCCGGCUAACUCCGUGCCAGCAGCCGC
rnacentral:rRNA from 1 species